rnacentral:rRNA from 1 species
CAGACUUUGAGAAAUGACAUGAAGAAUAUAGCAUAGGUGGAGAUUACUUAAAAUGAUCGACUUUGAAAUACCACUGUCUUUAUAGUUGUUUUUCUUAGUUUAAUUGGGUAGAAACAGGGCCAAAAAGCCCUUUUUUCUGAGUUAAUUGGAAUGAUACGCUUGGGGGGGUAUUAUGUUUGGUCUCUGAAAGGGGAUCAAGUGGUAGUAUCUUUUAUCCCCAGGCCUCUGCAUCCGAGAUCUAGGUUAAAGACAUUGUCUGGUGGGGAGUUUGGCUGGGGCGGCACAUCUGUUAAAAGCUAACACAGGUGUCCUAAGAGGAGCUCAAUGAGAACAGAAAUCUCAUGUAGAACAUAAGGGUAAAAGCUCUUUUGAUUUUGAUUUUCAGUACUAAUACAAACCCUGAAAGGGUGGCCUAACGAUCCUUUGGUUAUUCGAGAUUUGAAGCUAGAGGUGUCAGAAAAGUUACCACAGGGAUAACUGGCUUGUGGCCGCCAAGCGUUCAUAGCGACGUGGCUUUUUUGAUCCUUCGAUGUCGGCUC